UACGGGGGGGGCAAGCGUUGUUCGGAAUUACUGGGCGUAAAGCGCACGUAGGCGGAUUGCUAAGUCAGGGGUGAAAUCCUGGAGCUCAACUCCAGAACUGCCCUUGAUACUGGCGGUCUCGAGUCCGGGAGAGGUGAGUGGAACUGCGAGUGUAGAGGUGAAAUUCGUAGAUAUUCGCAAGAACACCAGUGGCGAAGGCGGCUCACUGGCCCGGUACUGACGCUGAGGUGCGAAAGCGUGGGGAGCAAACAGG
rnacentral:rRNA from 1 species